GUCUGGCUGGCUCAGUUGGUAGAGCAUGUGACUUGUGAUCUCAAGGUUGUGAGUUUGAGCUCCACGUUGGGUG
rnacentral:tRNA from 1 species